rnacentral:rRNA from 1 species
ACGAACGCUGGCGGCGUGCUUAACACAUGCAAGUCGAACGGAAAGGCCCUGCUUUUGUGGGGUGCUCGAGUGGCGAACGGGUGAGUAACACGUGAGUAACCUGCCCUUGACUUUGGGAUAACUUCAGGAAACUGGGGCUAAUACCGGAUAGGAGCUCCUUCUGCAUGGUGGGGGUUGGAAAGUUUCGGCGGUUGGGGAUUGACUCGCGGCUUAUCAGCUUGUUGGUGGGGUAGUGGCUUACCAAGGCUUUGACGGGUAGCCGGCCUGAGCGGGUGACCGGCCACAUUGGGACUGAGGUACGGCCCAGACUCCUACGGGAGGCAGCAGUGGGGAAUAUUGCACAAUGGGCGGAACCCUGAUGCAGCAACGCCGCGUGCGGGAUGACGGCCUUCGGGUUGUAAACCGCUUUCGCCUGUGACGAAGCGUGAGUGACGGUAAUGGGUAAAGAAGCACCGGCUAACUACGUG